GAUGAACGCUGGCGGCGUGCCUAAUACAUGCAAGUCGAGCGAACGGACGAGAAGCUUGCUUCUCUGAUGUUAGCGGCGGACGGGUGAGUAACACGUGGAUAACCUACCUAUAAGACUGGGAUAACUUCGGGAAACCGGAGCUAAUACCGGAUAAUAUUUUGAACCGCAUGGUUCAAAAGUGAAAGACGGUCUUGCUGUCACUUAUAGAUGGAUCCGCGCUGCAUUAGCUAGUUGGUAAGGUAACGGCUUACCAAGGCAACGAUGCAUAGCCGACCUGAGAGGGUGAUCGGCCACACUGGAACUGAGACACGGUCCAGACUCCUACGGGAGGCAGCAGUAGGGAAUCUUCCGCAAUGGGCGAAAGCCUGACGGAGCAACGCCGCGUGAGUGAUGAAGGUCUUCGGAUCGUAAAACUCUGUUAUUAGGGAAGAACAUAUGUGUAAGUAACUGUGCACAUCUUGACGGUACCUAAUCAGAAAGCCACGGCUAACUACGUGCCAGCAGCCGCGGUAAUACGUAGGUGGCAAGCGUUAUCCGGAAUUAUCGGGCGUAAAGCGCGCGUAGGCGGUUUUUUAAGUCUGAUGUGAAAGCCCACGGCUCAACCGUGGAGGGUCAUUGGAAACUGGAAAACUUGAGUGCAGAAGAGGAAAGUGGAAUUCCAUGUGUAGCGGUGAAAUGCGCAGAGAUAUGGAGGAACACCAGUGGCGAAGGCGACUUUCUGGUCUGUAACUGACGCUGAUGUGCGAAAGCGUGGGGAUCAAACAGGAUUAGAUACCCUGGUAGUCCACGCCGUAAACGAUGAGUGCUAAGUGUUAGGGGGUUUCCGCCCCUUAGUGCUGCAGCUAACGCAUUAAGCACUCCGCCUGGGGAGUACGACCGCAAGGUUGAAACUCAAAGGAAUUGACGGGGACCCGCACAAGCGGUGGAGCAUGUGGUUUAAUUCGAAGCAACGCGAAGAACCUUACCAAAUCUUGACAUCCUUUGACAACUCUAGAGAUAGAGCUUUCCCCUUCGGGGGACAAAGUGACAGGUGGUGCAUGGUUGUCGUCAGCUCGCGUCGUGAGAUGUUGGGUUAAGUCCCGCAACGAGCGCAACCCUUAAGCUUAGUUGCCAUCAUUAAGUUGGGCACUCUAAGUUGACUGCCGGUGACAAACCGGAGGAAGGUGGGGAUGACGUCAAAUCAUCAUGCCCCUUAUGAUUUGGGCUACACACGUGCUACAAUGGACAAUACAAAGGGCAGCGAAACCGCGAGGUCAAGCAAAUCCCAUAAAGUUGUUCUCAGUUCGGAUUGUAGUCUGCAACUCGACUACAUGAAGCUGGAAUCGCUAGUAAUCGUAGAUCAGCAUGCUACGGUGAAUACGUUCCCGGGUCU
rnacentral:rRNA from 1 species